rnacentral:rRNA from 1 species
UACGGAGGGUGCAAGCGUUAAUCGGAAUUACUGGGCGUAAAGCGCACGCAGGCGGUCAAUUAAGUCAGAUGUAAAAGGCACGAGCUUAACUUGGGAAUUGCAUCUGAAACUGGUAGGCUAGAGUCUUGUAGGGGGGGGUAGAAUUCCAUGUGUAGCGGUGAAAUGCGUAGAUAUGUGGAGGAAUACCGGUGGCGAAAGCGGCUCCCUGGA